GCCCUCUUAGCUCAGCUGGAUAGAGCGGGUCUUUCCUAAAGACCAGGUCGCAAGUUCGAAUCUUGCAGGGGGCG
rnacentral:tRNA from 1 species